AAUAUGUUUUAACAUUUAACAUUAGAAACAAAUAUAAGAGUAACAAUAUUAUGAAAUUAAUUAAUAUAAUUUACUUUUUAUAUUUCAAUAUUUGUUAACUUUAUAAUAGUCAAUAUUUAACACUGAUAAACUGAAAUAAUCACCCACUAAUCAAAAUAAUCUGUUGAACACAAUAAUUAAACUAAUAAAUAUAUGUUCAUAGGUGUGUGCACGGGUGUGGCUUAUUGAAGUAUUGACUAUGGACAUCAAAACCAGCUAAACAUAUUCAGUUUUUAGAAUGUGGAAAUUCAUAGAAGAUGGUUCCAGAAAGGAUACAUUUAUUUCAAAACUGCCCAAUAUGUUUUACACGCAGUGUUAUAUGAUUUAAAUCCAAGACUUAUGAGUAUUAUUAAACCAAUAAAUAACAAUGAUAUUAAUUUAAAAGUACUAAAAUGUAUCAUGCAAAAUUCCAAACAAUUAUGUACUUAAAACACACAAUUCAUACAAAACAUGCCAAGCUGAUGACUAGAUAUUUCAAAGGUAGGUACCAAUGAGUAAAAUUAUAAAUACUCACUCUCAGUUCUUCUGAAAAACCCUUCUUGGCGUUCGCGAACGAAUAACAGCCCUUCUUUAUCAAAUUUAUUAGACGGUUGUUGUGCCAAUGUGAUCAUCUCCUGUUUGUUGAAACGCAUUUCAUUUGUUGGGUCUAAAAAUAAGAUGAGUCAAAUGUUGUGCAUGAAAAUCAUACUUGAAUACUUACCGACUAA